rnacentral:rRNA from 1 species
GACGAGGGAUCCCUAGCGUUGUUCGGAAUCAUUGGGCGUAAAGCGGGUGCAGGUGGCUUUGUAAGUCAGGUGUGAAAUCCCAGGGCUUAACCCUGGAAGUGCAUUUGUAUACUGCGAAGCUUGAGUGUAGGAGAGGUUACUAGAAUUCCAGGUGUAGUGGUGAAAUACGUAGAUAUCUGGAGGAAUACCGGAGGCGAAGGCGGGUAACUGGCUAACACUGACACUCAGACCCGAAAGCGUGGGGAUCAAACAGGAUUAGAAACCCCGGUAGU